rnacentral:rRNA from 1 species
AUUGAACGCUGGCGGCAGGCCUAACACAUGCAAGUCGAAUGGUAACAGGAAACAGCUUGCUGUUUCGCUGACGAGUGGCGGACGGGUGAGUAAUGUCUGGGAAACUGCCUGAUGGAGGGGGAUAACUACUGGAAACGGUAGCUAAUACCGCAUAACGUCGCAAGACCAAAGAGGGGGACCUUCGGGCCUCUUGCCAUCAGAUGUGCCCAGAUGGGAUUAGCUAGUAGGUGGGGUAACGGCUCACCUAGGCGACGAUCCCUAGCUGGUCUGAGAGGAUGACCAGCCACACUGGAACUGAGGCACGGUCCAGACUCCUACGGGAGGCAGCAGUGGGGAAUAUCGCACAAAGGGCGCAAGCCUGAUGCAGCCAUGCCGCGUGUAUGAAGAAGGCCUUCGGGUUGUAAAGUACUUUCAGCGGGGAGGAAGGGAGUAAAGUUAAUACCUUUGCUCAUUGACGUUACCCGCAGAAGAAGCACCGGCUAACUCCGUG